rnacentral:rRNA from 1 species
CCUUUGACGUUAGCGGCGGACGGGUGAGUAACACGUGGGUAACCUACCUAUAAGACUGGGAUAACGUUCGGGAAACCGGAGCUAAUACCGGAUAAUAUUUCGAACCGCAUGGUUCGAUAGUGAAAGAUGGUUUUGCUAUCACUUAUAGAUGGACCCGCGCCGUAUUAGCUAGUUGGUAAGGUAACGGCUUACCAAGGCGACGAUACGUAGCCGACCUGAGAGGGUGAUCGGCCACACUGGAACUGAGACACGGUCCAGACUCCUACGGGAGGCAGCAGUG